rnacentral:tRNA from 1 species
GGCUCCAUAGUGUAGCGGGGAGCACAUCUGCUUUACACACAUAAGGUCCUGGGUUUAUGUCCCAGGUGGAGCCA